rnacentral:rRNA from 1 species
GAUGAACGCUGGCGGCGUGCCUAAUACAUGCAAGUCGAGCGAACAGACGAGGAGCUUGCUCCUCUGACGUUAGCGGCGGACGGGUGAGUAACACGUGGAUAACCUACCUAUAAGACUGGGAUAACUUCGGGAAACCGGAGCUAAUACCGGAUAAUAUAUUGAACCGCAUGGUUCAAUAGUGAAAGACGGUUUUGCUGUCACUUAUAGAUGGAUCCGCGCCGCAUUAGCUAGUUGGUAAGGUAACGGCUUACCAAGGCAACGAUGCGUAGCCGACCUGAGAGGGUGAUCGGCCACACUGGAACUGAGACACGGUCCAGACUCCUACGGGAGGAAGCAGUAGGGAAUCUUCGGCAAAGGGCGAAAGCCUGACGGAGCAACGCCGCGUGAGUGAUGAAGGUCUUCGGAUCGUAAAACUCUUUUAUUAGGGAAGAACAAAUGUGUAAGUAACUCUGCACGUCUUGACGGUACCUAAUAAGAAAGCCACGGCUAACUACGUG